rnacentral:rRNA from 1 species
AACGAACGCUGGCGGCAGGCCUAACACAUGCAAGUCGAGCGAGACCUUCGGGUCUAGCGGCGGACGGGUUAGUAACGCGUGGGAACGUGCCCUUCUCUGCGGAAUAGCCACUGGAAACGGUGAGUAAUACCGCAUACGCCUUCGGGGGAAAGAUUUAUCGGAGAAGGAUCGGCCCGCGUUAGAUUAGAUAGUUGGUGGGUAACGGCCUACCAAGUCUACGAUCUAUAGCUGGUUUUAGAGGAUGAUCAGCAACACUGGGACUGAGACACGGCCCAGACUCCUACGGGAGGCAGCAGUGGGGAAUCUUAGACAAUGGGCGCAAGCCUGAUCUAGCCAUGCCGCGUGUGUGAUGAAGGUCUUAGGAUCGUAAAGCACUUUCGCCAGGGAUGAUAAUGACAGUACCUGGUAAAGAAACCCCGGCUAACUCCGUG